rnacentral:rRNA from 1 species
CCCGCCGGACCUGACUGCUAUCGGAUUGAUACUAAGCCAUGCGAGUCUUUGUAGUAAUACAAGGCAGACGGCUCAGUAACACGUAGUCAACCUACCCUAUGGACAAGAAUAAUCUCGGGAAACUGGGCAUAAUUCUUGAUAGAUCAUAAUGCCUGGAAUGGUUUAUGGUUAAAAUGAUUCGUCGCCAUAGGAUGGGACUGCGGCCUAUCAGCUUGUUGGUGAGGUAAUGGCCCACCAAGGCGAUUACAGGUACGGGCUCUGAGAGGAGAAGCCCGGAGAUGGGUACUGAGACACGGACCCAGGCCCUAUGGGGCGCAGCAGGCGAGAAAACUUUGCAAUAUGCGAAAGCACGACAAGGUUAAUCCGAGUGAUUUCUGCUAAAGAAAUCUUUUGCCAGUCAUAAAACCACUGGUGAAUAAGGGGUGGGCAAGUUCUGGUGUCAGCCGCCGCGGUAAAGCCAGCACCUCAAGUGGUCAGGAUGAUUAUUGGGCCUAAAGCAUCCGUAGCCGGCUUUGUUAGUUUUCGGUUAAAUCCAUGUGCUCAACGCAUGGGCUGCCGAAAAUACUGCAUAGCUAGGGAGUGGGAGAGGUAGACGGUACUCAGUAGGAAGGGGUAAAAUCCUUUGAUCUAUUGAUGACCACCUGUGGCGAAGGCGGUCUACCAGAACACGUUCGACGGUGAGGGAUGAAAGCUGGGGGAGCAAACCGGAUUAGAUACCCGGGUAGUCCCAGCUGUAAACGAUGCAGACUCGAUGAUGCAUUGGCAUAAUAGCCAGUGCAGUGUCGCAGGGAAGCCGUUAAGUCUGCCGCCUGGGAAGUACGUACGCAAGUAUGAAACUUA